UACGUAUGGAGCAAGCGUUAUCCGGAUUUACUGGGUGUAAAGGGUGCGUAGGUGGCAGUGCAAGUCAGAUGUGAAAGGCCGGGGCUCAACCCCGGAGCUGCAUUUGAAACUGCAUAGCUAGAGUACAGGAGAGGCAGGCGGAAUUCCUAGUGUAGCGGUGAAAUGCGUAGAUAUUAGGAGGAACACCAAUGGCGAAGGCGGCCUGCUGGACUGUUACUGACACUGAGGCACGAAAGCGUGGGGAGCAAACAGG
rnacentral:rRNA from 1 species